rnacentral:lncRNA from 1 species
GAGCAGGAGAAGCAGGCGCUCAAGGUCAGUGUGGAUUGUUUGAGACUCUUUUCCAAAACAAAUGAAAACAAACAAACAAACAAACAACAAAGAAACAAAGAAACAAAAAUUUAACAUCUAAUACAAUUAACUUUGCUGGUUUGUUGUUGUUUGUUUUUUCUUUCACACUAGCACACUAGGUGGUAUUUUUUUCUAAGAUUGAGCUAUAGCCCCAGGCUUUAUAUUUAAAAAUCAGAAUUAGUGGGGCUGGAGAGAUGGUUCAGAGAGGACUGGUUGCUCUUUCUUUCAGAGGAUUCAAGUUCAGUCAGUUGUCAGAGACCACAACAUAACCGUGUAGUCCCUGGGGAUGGCAACACCCUCUUCUGGACUCUUCGGGCAUCGAGAUGCACGUGAUGCAUUGAUAGACUCACAAGCCAAACAUCCACACGCAUAAAAAUAGAUACACAUUUAAAAGAUCAGAACCAGGGCACAAAAUUCACAAAGAAGAAAUGAUGAACUGUAUAAGAAAAGACUGGAUCAUUAUUGCAGGUUUUCGCUUUUGUUUCAAGCUCCAGUGAGGCUCGGUGCUGGAGU